rnacentral:rRNA from 1 species
CCUACGGGGGGCUGCAGUGGGGAAUAUUGGGCAAUGGGGGAAACCCUGACCCAGCAACGCCGCGUGAGUGAAGAAGGCCUUCGGGUCGUAAAGCUCUGUCCUUGGGGACGAAGGAUGACGGUACCCAAGAAGAAAGCCACGGCUAACUACGUGCCAGCAGCCGCGGUAAUACGUAGGUGGCGAGCGUUGUCCGGAAUUACUGGGCGUAAAGGGCGAGUAGGCGGUAACACAAGUCAGAUGUGAAAGGCGAGGGCUCAACUCUCGGAUUGCAUUUGAAACUGUGUAACUUGAGUGCGGUAGAGGAAAGUGGAAUUCCCAGUGUAGCGGUGAAAUGCGUAGAUAUUGGGAGGAACACCAGUGGCGAAGGCGACUUUCUGGGCCGUAACUGACGCUGAGGCGCGAAAGCGUGGGGAGCGAACAGGCUUAGAUACCCGUGUAGUC